rnacentral:rRNA from 1 species
CCCCAGACUCCUACGGGAGGCAGCAGUGGGGAAUAUUGCACAAUGGGGGAAACCCUGAUGCAGCAACGCCGCGUGGGUGAAGGAGCGUUUCGGCGCGUAAAGCCCCGUCAGCGGGGAAGAAGAAAGGCGGUACCCGACCAAGAAGCCCCGGCUAACUACGUGCCAGCAGCCGCGGUAAUACGUAGGGGGCGAGCGUUAUCCGGAAUUACUGGGUGUAAAGGGAGCGUAGACGGCGAGGUAAGCCUGAAGUGGAAGCCCGCGGCCCAACCGCGGAACUGCUUUGGGAACUGUUUUGCUGGAGUAUGGGAGGGGUAAGCGGAAUUCCUGGUGUAGCGGUGAAAUGCGUAGAUAUCAGGAGGAACACCGGCGGCGAAGGCGGCCUGCUGGACCGUGACUGACGUUGAGGCUCGAGAGCGUGGGGAGCAAACAGGAUUAGAUACCCCAGUA